UAGGGAAUCUUCCACAAUGGACGCAAGUCUGAUGGAGCAACGGCCGCGUGAGUGAAGAAGGUUUUCGGACCGUAAAGCUCUGUUGUUGGUGAAGAAGGAUAGAGGUAGUAACUGGCCUUUAUUUGACGGUAAUCAACCAGAAAGUCACGGCUAACUACGUGCCAGCAGCCGCGGUAAAUCGUAGGUGGCAAGCGUUGUCCGGAUUUAUUGGGC
rnacentral:rRNA from 1 species